CUUCUCCUGCUUGUGAAAGAUGACCAUGGGAGAUUGCUCUGACCUUACUCCUUAUUCCUGGAAGCUCCCAAGAAGCUGCAAAACGUAAGGAAGAUGCUUUGUAGCUGGGCUCCAUUGGAGAUGACCAGCGUGCGUUUCAGUCCGGUCCGGCAGCCAGGGCUGGGCAACGCCUUUCCAUGGAAAUGGCUCCCAUCUGGGAUCCGACUGACCACCGCCUCCUCUCCCCACCGGGUGAGCUGCCCUGAGGGACGGCCAGAGAUUCGGCCGAUGAGAGCUGCAAGCGGCACGGCGGAUGCCCCCACGCUCCUCGUCAUCCCAGGGCCGGGGACUCGCACCGCCGGCGCGGCUCCUGCGUUGUUCCUCCGCACCGUGGCUGGGUCACCGCAGCCCAGCCCGCGUCGCCCUGCCCGUCGCCGCCUCCGCAGCAGGAGCGCAGCCCCCCAGCACCCUGGUCCCUGCCGCCGUCCGCGCUGCCUCUGAGCCGUCUGGAGCGGGAGGGCGAUGCUGCCGGGCGUCAGGCCUGCUCCGGGCCCGCGGCUGCAGGGACAACGCGGCGGAGCAUGGAGGUACGGCCACCCCAGGGAGGGCUGCGUGUCCCCGGGCUCGGUGGGGGCUGCGGAGGGGCUGCGCGUGCCAGCCGGGAUCCCUCCAGCACUGGGGCCCUUGCUCCCAGGGGAAGGGGGCCAUCCCAGUGCCAGCCGGGGCUCCGUGUGCCGCCAGCACCGUGUCCCCCUCCCGGCUCCCGCUGCCUCCGCUGCAGGAGCCCUGGGCGGGGGUGGCACAGCCCCCCCGUGCCUCCAGCCGACCCGGGGAUCGUGGGGUCCCACAGCUGCUACCUGCCAGGCGCCUUCUGUCGCUGGCGCCUGGGCCAUCGUCAUUGCUCCGCAGCUCGGGGCACUCGUCGUCCGCCCGCCGCCGCGGGGGGCGAGACGGGCCGCGGCCGGGCUGCCGGGGGGCUGGGGCGGCGGUGGUGCCACUCACCCGCGCGGCGAGCGCUUGCUGCUCCCGCAGCAGCUCCAGGAACCGGCUGCUCCACAGCAGCUUCUCGGCGCCCAGCUCCGUGCUGAAGAAGCUGAUGUCGGCCUCCAGCGCCUCGAGCCUCCUCAGCAUGGCGGCGCUGGUGUCCCGCAGCCGCUGCAGCUCCCCGGGGCCUGGCAGCAGCGGCGCCUCAGCAGCCGCCCCCGGCACGUCCCGGCCCCCGGCAUGCCCGGCCCAGGGCCCCACGACCGACCUGCCUGCUCCGGGUGAGACGCGGAAGGGGCAGCGCCGUCCUCCUCGCUCGCCUCGCCGUCGCUCUCCAGCCUCAGCAGCACCGCCGAGCCGAGCUGAAAGCCGCGUCAGACAGCGGCGACCGACACGUCCGCAGGGCAGCGCGGGCUGCCGACCACCAGCCCAGCCAGGGCAGACCCCUGGCAGCGGGGCUCCGCGCCAAAGCCAGGCCGGCAGGGCAGACGCUGGCCUCAGCCGCACCUGGCCGCACCGCCGCAGGAGCUGGGACGAGGACCUGGCGGCUGGGUUACCCCCAGGUGUCCUUUGCUCAGGACUGAACACAGAGCCCCCCGCAGUGCUCCCGAUCCCGCCUGUGCCCCAGCCUCUAAUUCUGGCUUGA
ensembl:lncRNA